AAAAGAAAAAAAAAAAAAAGUAUUUCUGAACUGUAUCUUGUUAGAUUGAUUUGGGGGAUAACAUUGUUCGCUAUUUAUUAUCAGGCUAAAAUAGGUCUAACUUUUUAUCCCGUGACAAUAGGCCCAGGAGAAUAAAAAGUUGAGUUGGAGUGUGGUCCACAAGAGAGCUAUCAGCAAGAGGCUCAACAAUAGACCCAACGUUCAGAUGGGUUGAGUCAGAUCGAAGCCCGCGAGCAUUGUGGCUGAGCCCUUAAGUGCGACGGAUGCACCCUUUUUAUCAGCAUGUGCUUUUGGAAUAGUUGGUUGGCGCUUACGAUUCACAAAUAUAGUACAAAAAUGAACAGUUUUAACUCUCCAGGAAUAAAACAGAAUCAAAAACAUCCGAUCGUAUCUGUGCUCAUACUCGAUCUCAUCCAUGUUUGAAUAGAAAAU
rnacentral:lncRNA from 1 species